GACGAACGCUGGCGGCGUGCUUAACACAUGCAAGUCGAACGGAAAGGCCCUGCUUUUGUGGGGUGCUCGAGUGGCGAACGGGUGAGUAACACGUGAGUAACCUGCCCUUGACUUUGGGAUAACUUCAGGAAACUGGGGCUAAUACCGGAUAGGAGCUCCUGCUGCAUGGUGGGGGUUGGAAAGUUUCGGCGGUUGGGGAUGGACUCGCGGCUUAUCAGCUUGUUGGUGGGGUAGUGGCCUACCAAGGCUUUGACGGGUAGCCGGCCUGAGAGGGUGACCGGCCACAUUGGGACGGAGAUACGGCCCAGACUCCUACGGGAGGCAGCAGGGGGGAAUGUUGAACGAUGGGCGGAAGCCUGAUGCAGCAACGCCGCGUGAGGGAUGACGGCCUUCGGGUUGUAAGCCGCUUUCGCCUGUGACGAAGCGUGGGUGACGGUAAUGGGUAAAGAAGCACCGGCUAACUACGUG
rnacentral:rRNA from 1 species